AAAGAGCAUCUUAUACAAAUGG
rnacentral:miRNA from 1 species